rnacentral:rRNA from 1 species
ACCGGCGGCUCGAGUGGUGGCCACUAUUACUGGGCUUAAAGCGUUCGUAGCUGGCUUGUUAAGUCUCUGGAGAAAUCUUCCGGCUCAACCGGAAGGCGUCUCAGGGAUACUGGCAGGCUAGGGACCGGAAGAGGUGAGAGGUACUCGAGGGGUGGGAGUGACAGGCUGUGCUCCUUGGGGGAGCACCUGUGGCGGGGGCGGCUCACCAGUUUGGCUCCGACUGUGCGGCACGUGAGCGAGUGCAGCAUACAG